UACGUAGGCAGCGAGCGUUGUUCGGAGUUACUGGGCGUAAAGAGUGCGUAGGCGGUUUUCUAAGUUUGGUGUGAAAUCUCCCGGCUUAACUGGGAGGGUGCGCCGAAGACUGGAAGGCUAGAGUAUGGGAGAGGUAAGCGGAAUUCCUGGUGUAGCGGUGAAAUGCGUAGAUAUCAGGAGGAACACCAGCGGUGUAGACGGCUUACUGGACCAUAACUGACGCUGAGGCACGAAAGCGUGGGUAGCAAACAGG
rnacentral:rRNA from 1 species